rnacentral:rRNA from 1 species
UACAGAGACCUCAAGCGUUAUCCGGAAUCAUUGGGCGUAAAGCGUACCGAUAGGUGGUUUAGAAAGUCAGAAGUGAAAUCUUAAGGCUCAACCUUGAGACUGUCUUUUGAAACUUCUAAACUAGAGGGGCAAAGAGGAAGCCGGAACGAACGGUGUAGUAGUGAAAUGCGUUGAUAUCGUUCGGAACACCAAUAGCGAAGGCAGGCUUCUGGGUGCCACCUGACACUGCUAGGACGAAAGCGUGG